rnacentral:rRNA from 1 species
ACUCCCACAAACCCCAAUGUGAACGUUACCAAACUGUUGCCUCGGCGGGAUCUCUGCCCCGGGUGCGUCGCAGCCCCGGACCAAGGCGCCCGCCGGAGGACCAACCAAAACUCUUAUUGUAUACCCCCUCGCGGGUUUUUUUUAUAAUCUGAGCCUUCUCGGCGCCUCUCGUAGGCGUUUCGAAAAUGAAUCAAAACUUUCAACAACGGAUCUCUUGGUUCUGGCAUCGAUGAAGAACGCAGCGAAAUGCGAUAAGUAAUGUGAAUUGCAGAAUUCAGUGAAUCAUCGAAUCUUUGAACGCACAUUGCGCCCGCCAGUAUUCUGGCGGGCAUGCCUGUCCGAGCGUCAUUUCAACCCUCGAACCCCUCCGGGGGGUCGGCGUUGGGGAUCGGCCCUGCCUUGGCGGUGGCCGUCUCCGAAAUACAGUGGCGGUCUCGCCGCAGCCUCUCCUGCGCAGUAGUUUGCACACUCGCAUCGGGAGCGCGGCGCGUCCACAGCCGUUAAACACCCAACUUCUGAAAUGUUGACCUCGGAUCAGGUAGGAAUACCCGCUGAACUUAAGCAUAUCAAUAAGGCGGAGGAA